rnacentral:lncRNA from 1 species
CGAUGAAAACUGUAACCAAUGCUAUAUAGGUAGCACAAAGAGAAAUUUGAAAAAGAGGUUAGAAUAAAAUAGGACAGUUAUUGCUAAAGGAAGACUUAACACAGCCCUCACAAUGAAGAGUUAUGAACAAAAUGUCAUCAUAAACUGGAACCAAGCUAAAAUUGUUAAGCCUGUAAGAGAAGCUUCUGGCUUUAACAUUGUGGAAGCUAUGGAAAUAGAAAAACAAAAAUAUUCUAUACCAGUUAUCAAUGAUAACCAACCGGUGGAUCUCCUGUUGGCCUGGGCAUGGUGUACUACCAAACACACACAAUUCUCAUGUUUAUAGACUGUCCAUUCAGUGCCCUAUAUAAAUGUUGGAGUUCCGUGCUGUAAUAUGCUGUAAUAUCCUGCAACCUAUAGUGUUCUCCAGCACCAGAUUUCUACGACACAUUUUAAUGGAC